GAUGAACGCUGGCGGCGUGCUUAACACAUGCAAGUCGAACGAAGACAUCUGAGUGCUUGCACUUGGAUGGACUGAGUGGCGGACGGGUGAGUAACGCGUGGGUAACCUGCCUUAUACAGGGGGAUAACAGUUGGAAACGACUGCUAAUACCGCAUAAGCCCACGGUGCCGCAUGGUACAGAGGGAAAAGGAGCAAUCCGCUUUGAGAUGGCCUCGCGUCCGAUUAGCUAGUUGGUGAGGUAACGGCCCACCAAGGCAACGAUCAGUAGCCGACCUGAGAGGGUGACCGGCCACAUUGGGACUGAGACACGGCCCAGACUCCUACGGGAGGCAGCAGUGGGGGAUAUUGCACAAUGGAGGAAACUCUGAUGCAGCGACGCCGCGUGAGCGAAGAAGUAUUCGGUAUGUAAAGCUCUAUCAGCAGGGAAGAAAAUGAACGGUACCUGACUAAGAAGCCCCGGCUAACUACGUGCCAGCAGCC
rnacentral:rRNA from 1 species